rnacentral:rRNA from 1 species
ACCGAAUAGAUACCCCGGUAGUCCACGCCGUAAACGAUGGAUGCUGGCUGUGAGAGGUAUCGACCCCUCUCGUAGCGAAAGCUAACGCGUUAAGCAUCCCGCCUGUGGAGUACGGUCGCAAGACUAAAACAUAAAGGAAUUAACGGGGACCCGCACAAGCGGUGGAGCGUGUUGUUUAAAUUCGAUGGUAAACGAAGAACCUUACCCAGGUUUGACAUCCUUGGAAGUUUUCCGAAAGGAAAAUGUGCUUUAUUGAACCAAGUGACAGGUGUUGCAUGGCCGUCGUCAGCUCGUGUCGUGAGAUGUUUGGUUAAGUCCAUCAACGAGCGCAACCCUUAUGGUCUGUUGUAUUUUUCAGGCCAGACUGCCCUGGCAACAGGGAGGAAGGAGGGGAUGAUGUCAGGUCAGUAUUACCCCUUACAUCUGGGGCUACAAACACGCUACAAUGGCCGGUACAAAGGGCUGCCAAGUCGCGAGACGGAGCAAAUCCCAUCAAAGCCGGUCUCAGUUCGGAUAGCAGGCUGAAACUCGCCUGCUUGAAGCCGGAAUCGC